UUUGACAUAGUUUUUACUUUUCCAGGGCCAUCCAUAGUAUUAGUUCAAGCUUUUCCAAAUCCUUCUUCACAAUCACCAUCUACGUGACCUUAUGUCUUCUCUUCUAUGCUUCUACAUCUUUUAAAACAUAUUAGAACCUAUCUUUGCUGGUGCCCCAUUAGGUCCUCACUGAAUAUUGCUCAUACCGAAUUUGAUGAUUC
rnacentral:lncRNA from 1 species